rnacentral:rRNA from 1 species
CCUACGGGGGGCAGCAGUGAGGAAUAUUGGUCAAUGGGCGUAAGCCUGAACCAGCCAAGUCGCGUGAGGGAUGAAGGUUCUAUGGAUCGUAAACCUCUUUUAUAAGGGAAUAAAGUGUGGGACGUGUCCUUUUUUGUAUGUACCUUAUGAAUAAGGAUCGGCUAACUCCGUGCCAGCAGCCGCGGUAAUACGGAGGAUCCGAGCGUUAUCCGGAUUUAUUGGGUUUAAAGGGAGCGUAGGCGGGCUUUUAAGUCAGCGGUGAAAGUCUGUGGCUCAACCGUAAAAUUGCAGUUGAAACUGGGGGGCUUGAGUAUGUUUGAGGCAGGCGGAAUGCGUGGUGGAGCGGUGAAAUGCUUAGAUAUCACGCAGAACCCCGAUUGCGAAGGCAGCUUGCCAAGCCAUGACUGACGCUGAUGCACGAAAGCGUGGGGAUCAAACAGGAUUAGAUACCCGAGUAGUC